GAUGAACGCUGGCGGCGUGCCUAAUACAUGCAAGUCGAGCGAACGGACGAGAAGCUUGCUUUUCGGAUGUUAGCGGCGGACGGGUGAGUAACACGUGGAUAACCUACCUAUAAGACUGGGAUAACUUCGGGAAACCGGAGCUAAUACCGGAUAAUAUUUUGAACCGCAUGGUUCAUAAGUGAAAGACGGUCUUGCUGUCACUUAUAGAUGGAUCCGCGCUGCAUUAGCUAGUUGGUAAGGUAACGGCUUACCAAGGCAACGAUGCAUAGCCGACCUGAGAGGGUGAUCGGCCACACUGGAACUGAGACACGGUCCAGACUCCUACGGGAGGCAGCAGUAGGGAAUCUUCCGCAAUGGGCGAAAGCCUGACGGAGCAACGCCGCGUGAGUGAUGAAGGUCUUCGGAUCGUAAAACUCUGUUAUUAGGGAAGAACAUAUGUGUAAGUAACUGUGCACAUCUUGACGGUACCUAAUCAGAAAGCCACGGCUAACUACGUG
rnacentral:rRNA from 1 species